rnacentral:tRNA from 1 species
GGUUCCAUGGUGUAAGAGUGAGCACUCUGGACUCUGAAUCCAGCGAUCCGAGUUCAAAUCUCGGUGGGACCU